GGGCAAGCUUUGUGCAGCCCUGGUUUCUGUUGCACUCGGGGCAGCUCUUUCCCAUCCUGUCCAGAGCAAGACAAUGCCAUGACCCAGAUGGGAGUGCAGAGCAGGUCUGGACUGACAGGACAGUCAUCCAUGACCACAUCAGCCUGACAUUCCCUGAUGAUGGCAACGGGAUGAACUCGGAGCAGCUGCACAAAAUACUAAGUAUUUGGUACCCGAAGCCGAGCACGCAGAUCAUCCUGGGAGGACAAAGAGCCAAAACACAGCUGGUUUCCAAAGGUCUGGCCUCCACUGAGUGUGACACAGACAGGUGCAAAAUCCUGAUUUCCAGCACUUGCUGGAUCCUGAG
rnacentral:lncRNA from 1 species